CCUACGGGAGGCAGCAGUGAGGAAUAUUGGUCAAUGGCCGGAAGGCUGAACCAGCCAUGCCGCGUGAAGGUCAGUGCCCUAUGGGCGUUAAACUUCUUUUGUGCGGGAGCAAUAAUGGUCAGGUGUGGCCAGACGAGAGUACCGUACGAAUCAGCAUCGGCUAACUCCGUGCCAGCAGCCGCGGUAACACGGGGGGUGCAAGUGUUAACCGGAUUUAGUGGGUCUAAAGGGUGCGUGGGCUGGGAUGUAAGUUAGCGGUGGAAGGCCCCCGCUCAACGGGGUGAAGUGCCAUUGAUACUGGCUUGCUGGAGUGCGGAUGACGUGGGAAGAAUGUGUGGUGUAGCGGUGAAAUGCGUAGAUAUC
rnacentral:rRNA from 1 species